rnacentral:rRNA from 1 species
UACAGAGGUCUCAAGCGUUGUUCGGAUUCAUUGGGCGUAAAGGGUGCGUAGGUGGCGCUGUAAGUCAGGCGUGAAAUUCCUGGGCUCAACCUGGGGACUGCGCUUGAUACGGCAGAGCUAGAGGAUGGAAGAGGCUCGCGGAAUUCCCAGUGUAGAGGUGAAAUUCGUAGAUAUUGGGAAGAACACCGGUGGCGAAGGCGGCGACCUGGUCCGAUACUGACGCUGAGGCGCGAAAGCGCGGGGAGCAAACAGG